rnacentral:rRNA from 1 species
CCUACGGGAGGCAGCAGUGAGGAAUCUUGGUCAAUGGACGAGAGUCUGAACCAGCCAAGCAGCGUGAAGGCUGAUUGCCUUCUGGGUUGUAAACUCCUUUUAUAGAGGACAAAAACGAGGCCCGUGUGCCUUUUUGCAUGUACUCUAUGAAUAACGACCGGCUAACUCCGUGCCAGCAGCCGCGGUAAUCCGGAGGAUCCGAGCGUUAUCCGGAUUUAUUGGGUUUAAAGGGGGCGUAGCUGGGGUGUUAAGUCAGUUGUGAAAGUUUGCGGCUCAACCGUAAAAUUGCCAUUGAUACUGGCAGGCUAGAGUGCAGAUGAGGUCGGAGGAAUGCGUGGUGUAGCGGUGAAAUGCUUAGAUAUCACGAAGAACACCGAUUGCGAAGGCAGCUGACGAAGCUGUGACUGACGCUGAUGCUCGAAAGUGUGGGUAUCGAACAGGAUUAGAUACCCUUGUAGUC